CCUACGGGAGGCAGCAGUGAGGAAUAUUGGUCAAUGGGCGCGAGCCUGAACCAGCCAAGUAGCGUGAAGGAUGACUGUCCUACGGGUUGUAAACUUCUUUUAUCAAGGAAUAAAGUGAGGCACGUGUGCCGUUUUGUAUGUACUUUAUGAAUAAGGAUCGGCUAACUCCGUGCCAGCAGCCGCGGUAAUACGGAGGAUCCGAGCGUUAUCCGGAUUUAUUGGGGUUAAAGGGUGCGUAGGUGGGAUGUUAAGUCAGUUGGGAAAGUGUGGGGCUCAACCGUAAAAGUGCAUUUGAUACUGGCGGUCUUGAGUGCGUGAGAAGUAGGCGGAAUGCGUGGUGUAGCGGUGAAAUGCAUAGAUAUCACGAAGAACUCCGAUUGCGAAGGCAGCUUACUAGACUGCAACUGACGUUGAUGCUCGAAAGUGUGGGUAUCAAACAGGAUUAGAUACCCGAGUAGUC
rnacentral:rRNA from 1 species